AGCAACCGUCAUUUAAAUACAUUUUAACAUAGAGUGAAGGGUAAAAUAAGAUAUGAUAAACAUGUCAAUAUUUAAUGAAGUGGAAGUCUAGCAGAACCACCAUCAUAAAUACACAAGUCAGAUUUCAUACAAAACUAAAAGAUAUGGUUUAUUUUUCUCGUUGCCUUCAGCCAUCUCGAGUGGAAUGUCGCUGGUAAACAACUGGAAGACUUUGCUGCAGACCUUGAAUCAUGCUUGACUUCAGAGUCCAUUAAAAUAAGGCCAGUUUGGACUAAACUAGGACACUCGGCAAGAGUGAAGAUGUCUCCCAUGUUGAAAACUUUGCACAUGUCAAUAUGAAGGAGCUCCAGGCUGGAUGAGAAGGACACCCAAAGUAGCUCCAUCUCCUUGCGCUGCUCCACAGGGAGGCUCUUGUCACGAAGAUGCAAGGUUUAGGUUCCAGUCCAAGUCCAAGGCAGCAGAGCGGUGCAUCCCCAUAUUCCGACUCCGUACCAGAGUCACGUCAUCCGUAAACCUGAUAAAGCCAACAACGGUAAUCUCAUUAACUGUCACUGAGAGCGAAGACAAGAGCAGCUGCCCGUCCGUCUUCAUCACAACUGUCCUUUCACUGAGG